GUCUACUAUAUAUAUUACAUAGGUUACGACCACUAUGGUAUUUGACACUGGUUAUGUUAUACUUGGUUGUAGAAUCCGUAGAGCGGGAAGAUCCCUAUUAGUGUGCGUGUACGCGAUCUUUGAAACUAUAUAAGCAGUUAAGUCAAGAUUGACUGGAGCAGAUGGAUCGUGAAAGAUGCAAUUACAAGUUGAAAGAGCUCAAUAUUAUCGUUUUGUCGUGUAUGACCGUUUAAUACUUCUAGUUUAAAUAGACCACCUAGUAAUCGAGUUGUAAUAGUUUGAGUAUUGUAAGCCUUAGCACUUGACAAUGUGAUCAAGUGUGGCGGUGAUACCUCCGAUUUAGGUGUAAGUUUCCGCAAAUUUAUUAUAAAGUCUUUUAUAUUCUUA